rnacentral:rRNA from 1 species
CCUACGGGAGGCAGCAGUGAGGAAUAUUGGUCAAUGGACGAGAGUCUGAACCAGCCAAGUAGCGUGCAGGAUGACUGCCCUAUGGGUUGUAAACUUCUUUUAUACGGGAAUAAAAUGCCUUACGUGUGGGACUUUGCAUGUACCAUAUGAAUAAGGAUCGGCUAACUCCGUGCCAGCAGCCGCGGUAAUACGGAGGAUCCGAGCGUUAUCCGGAUUUAUUGGGUUUAAAGGGAGCGUAGGCGGAUUGUUAAGUCAGUUGUGAAAGUUUGCGGCUCAACCGGAAAAUUGCAGUUGAAACUGGCAGUCUUGAGUACAGUAGAGGUAGGCGGAAUUCGUGGUGUAGCGGUGAAAUGCUUAGAUAUCACGAAGAACUCCGAUUGCGAAGGCAGUUCACUGGACUGCAACUGACGCUGAGGCUCGAAAGUGUGGGUAUCAAACAAGAUUAGAUACCCCUGUAGUC